rnacentral:rRNA from 1 species
GAUGAACGCUAGCGGCAGGCUUAAUACAUGCAAGUCGUGGGGCAGCAGGUUUGUAGCAAUACAGAUGCUGGCGACCGGCAAACGGGUGCGGAACACGUACAGAACCUUCCUUUGAGCGGGGAAUAGCCCAGAGAAAUUUGGAUUAAUACCCCAUAGUAUAAUGAAGUGGCAUCACUUUAUUAUUAAAGAUUUAUCACUCGAAGAUGGCUGUGCGGCUGAAUUGGGUAGUUGGCGGGGUAAAAGGCCCACUAAGCCUGCGAUCAGUAACUGGUGUGAGAGCACGACCAGUCACACGGGCACUGAGACACGGGCCCGACUUCCUACGGGA